CGGAGUUGAAUGCAUUCCUCUGUGUCGUGACCGUGGUCACGAUGGUAGAGGCAGAACUUGUUAGGAUUGCGCUUCCCGGGGUGUGUGCGCAUCCUUUCUGGCCUUGGGAGCUGCUCUCUGACCUCCAUCAGCACCUGAGUUUUCGAUGCGUUGAGGGGGGCAUAGCUGCGGAAUCUUCCUGGGGGAGAGCCCCGCCGAACCCUGCGGUCCAGGCUUCUCUGCCUGCGUGCUCGGGGAGGAGUCUGGGUGCGCUUGUGC
rnacentral:lncRNA from 1 species